UAGGUGAGAGCGGCGGUGGGUCGGCACAAGUGGCCUUCACGUUGUACACACACACACGUCUGUGUGGGGCGCUCCUCCUCCUCCUCCUACUACAACACAUGCUGCCCUAGCGGAGCCCAGAUUUCAAAAUGAAUUGGAGAGAUAGAAUUUCCAUAUUAUCAAGGAAGCGGAAUCAUGGAAGUGCUGGGCCUCCAUUAAACAGACUGAAUGACCUUCCAUCAAGUUCAGGGACCAUUACAAGUAACAAUAUUGCCUCCAACAGUGCCCCAGUGGAGAGUGUAGUGAACACUCUCUCACAGUUGCGUCCUGUUAUUGGUCCAGAUCUCAAAAGUUACUAUAUUUUAUUACGUGGGGAUGAAGAUUCAUUUACUUGCAUCCAGCCUGCUAUGGAUGUUAUAAACAGUUUAGAUGAAGUAGUAAAGAAUGUCAUUAAUACUCUAAUGUCAGGAAAGCAAUCAUUGCAAGUUGCAGAAUUACCUCCAAAUGCCAAAAAACCAAGAUAUAGUCAAGCUAAAACAUACACAAGUUCUUUAGCUCAUAGGCAAAUUAGUAGCAAUAGAAAAAAUGGAAUUCGUAAUUUGGGAUCAACAUUAUUAAAGGAAGAGAAAAGAGUGUCUAGUAUUAAUAUUGAAAACUUGUUCCUCGAUAAAGCUGAAAAUGGUGUAGUUACUUUUGAUUCAAACAAGGAUGUAGAAAAUGUUUUACUUCACAAAAGAGUACAAGAUCUUGAAAGCAAUGAACAGGAUCAAAUGGUGAGAACUACUUCAAUAUUGGAAAGUAGGUUGAAGUCUAAUGUGUUCGUUAAGAAUAAGCAGGAAUCGUGUUUGUUUAUCUCGAGUGACUGUGGAAGUGGAAACAUUUCAAACUUGCUAACAGUGCCCACUACUGAACCUGAUUUAAUUCAAAGCAUUGCUCAAAGUGUUUCAUCUGUAAGAAGGAGAGAUUAUAAGAAUAGUCAGAUUCGUGUAUUAAAUGAAGAUGAGAAUUAUGUGACUCCACAGGCUUACUUGAGUGAACCUUUAGGAACAAUAGAGUCCAUCUCAAAAGACCUAGAUUGCAUAAGUUCCAAUGCGAGAGACCUUGAUUGCAUAGGGUCUAACACGAGAAUCUUAGAUUGCAUAGGGUCGAACACGAGAGACCUAGAUUGCAUAGGGUCCAACACAAGAGACCUAGAUUACAUUGGGUCCAACACGAGAGACUUGGAUUGCAUAGGGUCCAACACGAGAAGCCUAGAUUGUGCCCCCACAACAUUGGGACCGAACGUACCACUAACAGAAUUGUCUCUCAUAGCCAAGGAAGGAACUGUGUUGACGGAGGAUGAGAUCACAUCACAGAUCAAAACCUUAAUAGAGUCAGAGCAGUUAGCUGUUGGAGAGAAGAACCAGAUUGUUGUAAUAAGAGUGUCAGCCCGUGAAGCUUUGGUGAAAAUUGUGCAAACUGAAACUGGAGCUGUGGAUGAACUGGCCCAACAUCAAGAAACAGAAGCUGUCCCAAAAUCCACUAUGAAUAGAUUGGAUUUUGGCAAGACCAAAGAACAUAUAGCUCCUGGUCUAAGGGAGACUGUGGCUCAGACUGCUGACUGUGUGAUACAUCCUCUGGUUGCUUCCCUUACUGAGCCUUUGACUAAUGAGGAGCAACAGGAGGACGAUGAGCUUGCAAAACUACACUCGGUUUACAAGGCCGGCUCUCCCCACCUCGCGAGUCAAGUUGAUGUGUUGGAAACCUUUAGUGAUUCUUUGAUAGGCGGAGCAGGAGGGGAAAUUGUUGUGUUCCAGAGGGAAGAUGGAGAAUUUGUAAAUCAGGAUGGAACACCAGUGUCUAGUGAACUUCAGUAUUUGAUUACCAGUUCUCAACAAGACUUGACCUUAGACCCUGAAGAUGAUCACACUGAUCAAUUGUUUGUGCCUCCUGACCACUUUGAACAUCAUAUAGUAGAUGUUAAUUCAGGAUUAUGAUUAUAUACAAUAACAAUUAAGGGAAGUCAGUGUGGAAAAACACAAGAAUUAAAUAUAAAUGUUGCAAAAUUGCAGGUUUCAAGAAUGUAUGUAUGUGCAUGUGUGCGUGUGCCAUAGUCCCACCGAAACAAAGCUUCUUGGCCAUGCAAGUUUCUAUGUACUUGUGUGGUGUGAUCUCAUUACUCAAGGAUAAGACUGAUCUUCAGAAGGAUUACCUGUCGAGGAUUCUGAGGAUCAACGUCCCUGCAGCCUGGUCUCUGACCAGGCCUCGUGGUUGGUGGGCUGGUCAACCAGGCUGUUUAAUGUAGCUGCUUGCAGCCUGAUGCAUGAGUCACAACCUGGUUGAUCAGGUCUCAUUGAAGGUGUUUGUCAAGCAAAGUAAGGAUAAGUAAAAAAAUAUUAUAUUUUUCAGUAUACUGGUAGUAUUUUUGAAAUGUAUUGUUUAAGUUUACUUGUGUUUUCAACCACUGCAAAGCUUUGUUGUACCAUUUGCUGUAAGAAAAUUCCUAAAAUAUCCUUGAUAACAAAAAAAUUCUCUAGUUGAUGUAAUGCAAAUCAUAGUUUGUUGGACCAGAUCUGAUCACACUUAGCUUUUAUAAUUGAGGCUCUGUUGGACUUUAUUUAUAUUUAUAAUUGAGUGGGUAUGGAGAAAUUGCCAAAUCUGCAUUUGAUAGUGUUACUCUGCCAGAGUAUUGGAAACAAAAUCUGUAAUUGUAUCACUAAUAUGAGAGAGUAGUAAUAAGAAUUAUAUAAGGAUUAGUCUACUAUGCAGAUGAUGAGUCACAAUAACGUAGCUGAAGUUUGACUGAAGACUGAGGUCGAUUGACAAUCGAUUUGAUAAGGGUCCAGGAUGGACUAAAACGUUGUCGUCUCUUCAGUUUCUAGCGUGUUGUUUGGUCAACACUAGUCUACUAGGUGCAGUGGCCAAAGUAUCUGGCAGGAUAGUGAUCAAAAGAAUACAGGAAAUAAAUAAGAAAUGGGUCAGUGAUGAAUAAGGUAGGUUCUGUGGUGGAGGAUUGUGUGUAUCACGUACAUUAUUUGUUUUGAGAUACAGUACAGUAGUUGUAAAGAAGGCAUAUGAGAAUGAUUGUAAGGUGUAUAUGGCCACGAUGAACUUUGAAAGACGCAUAAGGCAAAGUUAGAGAAAGACUUGGGAGCAGGAUAAGCAUGCAUGGAGUUGGCAGAGCUUUGUUAAAUGGAAUGUUUAUUUUAUAUGGAAGAAGCAGUGCAUAUGUGAAAGUAUAGUAAAUGAAUGGUUUGAUAAUUAUGUAGGUGUAUGCCAGAGCUGUAUGAUAUGCUCUUGCUUGAUCAAUCUACACAUGGAUGGGGCCAAAAGGGAGGCUGAUAGAAGAGCAUUGAAGGAAGGUGUAAACCUAGUGUAUCCUGUAUAUCUAAUGUAUUGCAAUUGGAUUAUGUUAAAAUUUAUGUAUACAGGUGGUACAUUAUUUUUGCAGCCCAGUUGAAAGUUUUAUUGAUGUAUGGGAGAAGACUUAAGUGAAUGUGGAAAAAAAGUAAAGAUUUGGUUGUAAUAAGAAAAGAAAAUUUAAUGGGAAAAGAAUUUGCAUGAUCAAAUCUUCAAUCUGUAUAAAUACCUGGAAUGUGUGAUUGAUAAAAAAAAAAAGGAAUUUGUGUAAUCAAAUUGACGUUUUUUCCUUGGCCUUCCUCCUUCCAUCAUAACAGAUCAUGGGAAAUGGUUUUGUCUAGGUUACAUAUUGGUCACACCUGCUUAACUCGUGGUCAUUUAAUGAAGCAACGUAAUGCUCCUUCUUGUCUAACCUGUAUUGUCCCACUUAGUCGUGCAUCUCCAUGUAACAUACCCUAAUUUUCGAGAUCAUAUCUUGCUUUCCUAAUAUACCUAGAGGUCACUAGUUCCUUAGUAGAAUCCUUGAUGAAUUUAAUACCUUUGAUAUUGCUCACCUUAUGUCCUUUUUGUUCUAUUGGCAUCUCGAGUGAUAUUUAGCUUCUUUUGAAUAUACAGUGGCACAAACGGUGCUACAUAGUCUUCACGGCUUGGCACUUUUUUAAUACUUGAUAAUUCAAAAGGAACACCAUACACUUAAUUUUAUGAAGUGAUGGGAUGCUGCUGUUAAUAAUAGCUAGAGUGUGAAAGUGCUUGUUUAUCCAUGGUGCUAUUUAGUCUGAAUGUUGUAAUGAAUGGACAAGUAAUAUAUAUUUUGCAAUAUCAAAUUUUUCACUAUAUUCCAUCUUUUUUCAAGUAGUGCCAUCCAACCUUAUGAUAGUGGGAGACAGGAUAAUGGGUGUAAUAAUUGCUAGAUUAGGUUGACAGCUAAAUGAAAUACUGGUUGCUUUAUCUUUUGGUAAUUAAGCUUCAUACUGUAGUAGUCAUCUCUCACUUGUGACAUCCAUGUUGGUAGAUACUGUACUGUAGUCACUCAGUAUUGUUAUACUUGAAUGACCCUUUUAUCUUCACUCUACUAAUAUGCUCUCUUGUUUUGAGUGUCAUAUAUGAAAAUAGUAUGUCUUUUGUGUAUGUACUCAACUACACGUAGACCCCAACUUACACCACGACUCAAGUCAUCGUCCUCACAGUUGCUUCAGAGAAGUCCUAUCUCACUUUCUGUUGAUUCCCCUCAUUAAAUACCUGGUCAAUUGGCAGGAAUAGCAGUCCAAACCACUUCAGUGCUCCCACUUGGUAUGAGGAUGUAUUAUCUGAGGCUUGCCUUUCACCCCCCCCUCCCCCCCAACAUACGCUAAGUGCAGGCUAAGGCGUUUCACACAUUAAAGAUAGUCUCCUGUACUGUACUAUAGAUGAUUAUGCCUAAUACCUCUGUCCCUUGUGUAUCUCCUUUAACAUUAUGAUGUAAUUGAUUCGUUUAUAUCUGUGUUAGUAUUCUGUCUAAUAUGUUUUCUUUAUCACUAGCCUUACAUUUGGUAGUGGUAUAUGAAAGUCACAAAAGGGAUUGAAGUGUUGAUAGUCCAGUUGUAACCUUGGAUGUUUCUGUUUACAAUGAUUUUAAUGAAUAAAGACACUGGAUAUGGAGUAUUAACCUGCAGCUCUCUUCAAAUUAAUACUCAUAUGCACAAAGCUGUGAUAUCAAUAUAAUUAAGCAAUACUAAAUAAUAUAAGUGAUGGUAAUGUCUUCUCACAGACAUAAUAAUAUAAGAUAAAAACCCACGCUUAUUUAUUUAUUUGUUUGUGAAAUUUAUGUAAUGAAUUACACCAAGUCUUUCACACACUCCUGAGUGCUUUGUCAAGGUCUGAGUAUCUGGUUAGGAUGAGACUUGCAUUGCAAUGACUAAAAUCAACGACUUUAUGGCUAUUAUUUCAGAAAUACAUAAGUGUGGGGUUUCAUACUAAGUAACUUUGUAUUAAUAAUUUUUUGCCUCAAAUAUUAAGUUAUAUCAUAAACUUACCUCUUGGGUACCAACUUAGCAUGACAGAAUGGUACUUGUAUGCCAUUUCUGGGCUUUGAGGGGGAUUGCAUUGGCCUGUCUGUUGAAGGAGCCACCCUUAGUAGGUGGAUAUAGGUGUUCAGGCUAGGGAGCUAGAAGAAAAAAAGAUUUUUAUACUGGCAUGAGCAAAUUAUUGACAUCAAUGGUCUUCCUUGGGGAAAAAAAAGUGCCAUUAGAUGAGGUAUGCUGUCUGCACUGAUUCAACUCCCCAUUCUGCCCUGGUACGUAGUAUCCCAUGACCCCCAGAAUUCAACCUUUUUUUUAUCAUAAAUUUGUGUCUUGACCUGCUAUAAUGUCUUGAAAUUAUAGUACUGUAUGUCCUGAAUUUACCUGUGAGCCAUCAUCUCUAAAGGCUUCCACAGGGACAGGAACAGUAUGCAGUAUUAUUUUGUCAUUUAUGGCUUCAGCAUGUAUACAAUUCGAUGGGUGAAAAAAUUUGUCUGCUCUACAUUGUGGCUUGGAGAACUUGAAGUUGUUGUCUCUUGUGUGUGUUACACUGGAAGUUUUAAAUAAAUGAUCAGGAUUAAUACUGUGUCCUUCAAUUUGUUGAAUAUUUUAAAGGUCUCAACACCUUUAUAUAUAUACUGUAAUAGGGUUAGUAAAACUAAAAAGUUUUACUAACUAAAGUCCUUUUGAAAAUUAAAUCUGUGCUUGGAUACAGUAGUUCGGAUGGAGACACCAGAAUUUGUACAGCUGAAUUACCACUUUCUUUUCAUAUAAAGAAAAAGGUUCAUUUGAUUUGUUGUUGUUGUUAUUAUAGAUUCAGCUACUCGGAACAAGUUCCAAGUAGCACAGGCUAUGGUGAGCCCGUAACUUACCUGGCACAGGAGCGGGGCAAGUAGCAUGGGCUAUGGUGAGCCCCUAGUGGACUUACCCGACACAGGAGCGGUGCUGUGUGUUCAUUUGAUUAUUCCUGUGGUUUGAAUGGGCAUUUUGUUAUUGUAGCUCCUACUUGCCGAGCAACUCUUAGAUGACUGGUGGAAGAUUACCGUCAUGUCCUUUUCUUUGUUGUCCUGCUGCCGGGUCAUGGCUUCUGAUAUAUUAGUUAUAAUUUGCAUUUUUGUUCACAACAUACAAGGUCUUGCAUUUUUCAACACUGAAAGGUAUUUGAAAGGUAUUUACUAGUCUUUUGACCAUUUGUGAUGUUUAUGUAGUUGUUUUGCAAGGCCUCAAUAUAAUUUUUGCAGUUUUAAUAAUAUUCUAAGUGAUGGUAACAUCAUGUGCUAGAUUUGAGCAUGUUAUAUAUUACCAUACAGUAUACAGCACAAAUUUAUCUAUGAUACUUCUUUAUACAAAAAUGGUCUAUAAGUAUAAUAUUGGUCAUUUGCCUGUGUUAAGCAUUUAAAACAAGCAUACUUAAUCCUUAAUUAAAACAUUAACAUGAGAAGUAGAAUCAGUAAGUCGAAUUCCAACAGCCGUUGUUGAGUUCGUUUCAGACAUUUGUAUACUGACAAUAUUGUACAGUAUUGCAUUGACUUGCUAAUAUUAGUGUUCUUCUAUUCAAUUUUGUACAAAUAUUUUUCAAAAUAUUGAAUUCAUAUACAGUAUUGUAGUAAUUAGAUUUUGUCUUUUUUUCUAACCUGUAUGCAUGUGUGUAUAUGAAAACCUAUCAACCCAUUUUCCCCUCUUUUUACACACGUGUGUGGAUAUUGUAUUUUAUAUACAUCACUCUCUCUUACAAGCUCAAUUUUUAUGAAUGCUCUUUUUGCAUUUAUUUUCCAAGAUAUAUUUUUAGUAAAUCAGUUAAGGAAACUUUGCAAAAACUUUUGUUAAAAUUUUCUCUAAUUGUCUGAUAUUAGCCUCUUGUUUUUCUGAAUGUAUUCUGGGUAGGUUACAUAUUGAUCACACAUAAUUAACUCGUGGACACGUAAUGGAACAAAGGCCUGCACUUUACUGUCAGAACUGCAUUGUCCCCACUUACAGUUGUGCACUUAUAGAAUGUAAUGAUUUUCAGGAUGAUUAGAAAUCCUAUUUUCCCAAUGUCACUACAAGUCAUUUGUCUUUGUUAAUAAUCUGAUACCUUAAACAUUGUUUUACUCUCAUAUUAGCAUCUAAAAGUAUAUACUUGGUAUAAGAAUUUGUGACUGUUUUGUGCCACAGACAGUGCUAAAUAGGCUGCCAGGCUCAGUGUCUUCUCUUGAUAAUUGUUUAUUUGCUCAUGUGUAUACAUCCACAGCUCACCCAUUAGAGCUCUUGCCAUGUCAUCCUGGAUCAUAGGACAGCCUUUUUGUCAGUAGCCAUUACGGUAUUCUCAGGAAUGGAAACUGCAAAAUAUCAGGCAGUACCACAGAUAUUUGUGCAUAGAUGAAUUUGUUUAUGGAUAACUAUAGUGUUAGUGCACUGGAGAAUGGUGUGUGUAUGUUGUGAGAGAGUACAGUGUGUGUGUGUGUGUUUAUUGGGGAAGGGUAUGGAAUGUGUGUGUGUUUGUGGGGAAGGGGGUGUAAUUGGAUGCUUAUGUUUCAGUAACUGGAAGAGAGGUCUUUCCCCACCUACUUGCUGUGUUGCCUCUGUUGCAUUAAUUAUAGGUGUGUGUGUGUGUUGGAAAGGCAUUAAUUAUAGGGGUGUGUGUGUUGGAAAGGCAUUAAUUAUAGGUGUGUGUGUGUGUUGGAAAGGCAUUAAUUAUAGGGGGGUGUGUGUGUUGGAAAGGGUAUAGGAUAUUUCUGAGCUGGGGAAGGAUAUAGGGUGUGUGCUUGUAAGAGUAAAUUGAAGUAAGGGAUGCAGUAUGCUGCUGGAAUUGUUUUGUUAACUCAUAAUUUUUAUUUAUUUAGGCUUCUGUAUGAGUAUGAACACUUAUUUUGGAGUUUAAUGGGCAUUAUACUGUACUCGAUAUAAUUCAAAUUCAAAAUUCAAAAAAUUCAAAUGUUUAUUCAGGUAAAGUACAUAUAUACAAGGGGUGAUAUAUUGCUGAAUUUAUAGAUAGAGCUACAGGUAGUGCCUAAAGCCACUAUUAUGCAAAGCGUUUCAGGCAGGAAACGCCCAAAUGAAAUAGUACUGUAUGUCUCAUGGUUAAGCUUAUUUUGACUUGUAUAUACAGUAUAAGGAAUCUUUAUUCUUUGUAAUAUUGUGAAAGAAAUUAAUACACUGUACUGUAUGUGUUUUGUGAAAUAUAUAAAAAGAAAAGUAUAUACGCGUACACUAUACAGACAACUACUGUAUAUUCUUUCCAGACACAGACUGCAACUAUCAGAGAAACCUAUUUUCCAAUAUAAAUAAAUGUUCUGAAAUACAGUAUUCAGUUAAAAAAUCAACUAAAAGAACUUGUGCUGUGAUUUCAGAAAUGUUAAUAUGUAAGUUUAUACUACAUAAACAGUACAAGAUAUUCACUUGUAAACAUGUUUUUUUUAUAUACAGUAUUUACUUCCUUCUAGCAUUCCAUUAUAAUGAAUUGUACACAUUUGAAAGAAAGUGUAAUUUUUAUGAAUUUUGACUAAGAAGUUUUGCAUACUGUAUAUUUGAGCCUACUUCGAGAGAGGCAAAUAAACUAGCCACCUGAAAUAUGGGUAAAUGUUAAAAGCUAUAGAUCAUCGCUAACCUUUGAGUGUGCCUUGCAUAGUUUUCAUGGGUAUUCAAACUAUUGUAUCCAUUAAUUUUUAUUGGGAUUUUAUAUUUAUCCUCUGGAUGGAUACAUCUAGCCUUAGAGUCCAAGUCAGUCUUGAUGUUAAGGGAAGAGUCAAUGUCAGCCAGAUAAUUCCCAGCAUUUCUUAUUACAAUUGUAUAUACAAUACAGUAUUUGUGUCAUUUGUAACUUUUCAUAAUGAGACAAAUCAUUCAAAUAUAUUUUAAUUUUUGUCUAAGAGUGUCACUUAUGUUUAUUGAUAUUUUUGUAUAAUAUUGAAAACAAAUAUAGAUGGUU
rnacentral:misc_RNA from 1 species